UGGGGAAUUUUGGACAAUGGGCGAAAGCCUGAUCCAGCCAUGCCGCGUGAGUGAAGAAGGCCUUCGGGUUGUAAAGCUCUUUUAGUCGGAAAGAAAGAGUUGCAAUGAAUAAUUGUGAUUUAUGACGGUACCGACAGAAAAAGCACCGGCUAACUACGUGCCAGCAGCCGCGGUAAUACGUAGGGUGCGAGCGUUAAUCGGAAUUACUGGGCGUAAAGGGUGCGCAGGCGGUCUUGCAAGUCAGAUGUGAAAGCCCCGGGCUUAACCUGGGAAUUGCGUUUGNAACUACAAGGCUAGAGUGCAGCAGAGGGGAGUGGAAUUCCAUGUGUAGCAGUGAAAUGCGUAGAGAUGUGGAAGAACACCGAUGGCGAAGGCAGCUCCCUGGGUUGACACUGACGCUCAUGCACGAAAGCGUGGGGAGCAAACA
rnacentral:rRNA from 1 species